rfam:Crocosphaera watsonii WH 8501 ctg333, whole genome shotgun sequence.
GAGAGCCGUAUGAGGUGAAAGUCUCACGUACGCUUCGGACUGGGAGGAGAGGUAAGUGAUUACCUUUUCGACCCCUAAU